CAUCUCCUAUCAGUCAGGGAUGAAGCAAUCCCUUGUUCAUCCCCAGCUUGGCUUUUGAUCUAUGCCUGGUUCAUGCCUUGGACACAUGG
ensembl:snoRNA